GAGGUUAGCUCAGCUGGUAGAGCAUCUGAUUUACAUUCAGAGGGCCAUAGGUUCGAGUCCUAUACCUCC
rnacentral:tRNA from 1 species